CGCAUAUUGCGCCCCUUGGUAUUCCUUGGGGCACACCUGUUCGAGCGUCAUUAUCACCAAUCAAGCCCGGCUUGGUAUUGGGCGAUGCGGCAAUCCGCACGCCUCAAAUGCUCCGGCUGGCCCGUCUGUCCUAAAGCGUCGUGGAAACUCUCGCUUCUCGGAUCGUAUGGGUCGCUGCCGAAAAACACCUUCUCAAGGUUGACCUCGGAUCAGGUGGGGAUACCCGCUGAACUUAA
rnacentral:misc_RNA from 1 species